rnacentral:lncRNA from 1 species
UUACAAGUCCACUCCUCCUUCAGCCAGCUUCUUACACAUCAAAUCCUCACCACAAAUAUUGUCUCCACCUAAAUCUCUUUCCAAUUUCAGUCCACUUGCAUUCUCUCUUUGUUCUCUGUUGCCAACUGCUUUGAUUUCUUAGUCGUUGCUCUCUGUCUCCGAGUUUUUGACUGUAUAUGAAACAAUAGAUAAGUAUGGUUAUGUUCAAACAAAAAGAAAAAAAGAAAUUGAAGUUUAACUGCGUCUGACACAUUUGCUGCUAGUUUUGUUGUUUGCAGAGGUUUAUACAAUGUUAGUUAUGUACUUUGGAUUUUUAAUUUUUUUCCAGUGUUUUCUGGUGUGACCUUUUGGUAAAAAUCUUAUCUUUUUAUGUCUGUCAUCAGAUUGAAGUGUUUUUUCCUUUUCCUUUAAUUGUUGGGGGAAGGGGUGAUUUGUUCUUUGAUUUUAUUGAUGUAGUAUUACUUUGUGGUAACACCUUGGCGUUGAUCAGCUUUCAGAAAUUUGUUUUGCCAGGUGCCACUUUGAGCUUAACAUUACGAACACCAGGGAUACAAUUACCGCAACAGUGUCAGAAACGGUGGCACAGACAAUGUUAUCCCUAACUAGCAAUCAAAUAUAUGAAAAUGUUGCUACUCAGGUACAUAACUGUAUACUACUACAACCAAACAAGACUCAUCUUCUUUGUAUCCUAUUAUAGCAAUAAACAUCUUCGUUGAAUCCUAUUAUAACAGUAAACAAAAAUGCUCCAUUACGUAACCUCCUACUCACUGCGCCAUCUUUUCUCCUUUGUAUUCAGAGAGAACCGUUGUCUAUUGUCCGUACAAAUCAACAGUUUGUUCAUAGACUGUUUAGACUUCAGCUACAAAAGCUGAGCUACAGAUUCCCCAACCAAACACCUUGUAUGUUGGCUGUUACAUCCUUCACUGAAGCAGAAAACCCGGUUGUUCAAACAUUAUCAUCACCAAUGGCUCCCGGAGAAACAGGUAAGAAGCAAAAAGUCGAACCGCGCACUCUAGCAAAAAAGGCUUAAAGGUAAGAAUACUUUUAAUAGUUUGUUCUCUAUUGUAUCGUACCUCCAUUUUAACUUCUUCCUUGGAACAUUUGCAUUAGGUGACGUGAAAAGAAACAUGCUGCUAAAACGGCCACAUAGGUUGCAACUUAAGAUGACUCUGGACUAAUACAAAAGACUACAUAUAGGAAAAAUCGUUGUUUGGUUGUUGUAGUAAUCUGAAUAGGAAAAAUGGACUUUUUACUUUCUCUGGCAUAGAGUAGACCAAAAUUCCUUUUGGACUUUGCCUAAAUUUGGUUAUGACCAUUUUGUAUCUGUGCAAAUUACCCUGUUGUUCUAUUAAUAGUCAACUUUUUCUGAAACAUCUGACCGAGUUACUUGUGAUGGUCAUUAAUGACAUGGUACAAAUAUUGGUUCAUCGAAGAUGAUCAAUUUGCUCAUCGUUUCCAACAACUGCUUCGAGUUUGAUACUCGGGAAAAAUUUGUUUCCGCUAUGUUUUAUCCCUAACAUUUAUAGCAUGUCAACCACAAUAGGCCGGUAAAUAUAAUACUCAUGCUUCCUUCAUUGAUUCUUUGUACUCACUACAAUCAAAAUUAAUUUGUCUCCCUCUUUUGUAGCCUCUCCAUCUGGACAGGUAAAUAGAACAAUCCUACACCCUUUCAUUACUGCCUCCCUUUACUACAUCACCGUACUAGAAAAAUAGAACACUGUAUUUUCCUUCGCCUGCUUAAAUUAUCUCUACAGGUGGCAAGUGCCCAAAGUUGGAUGCAGCCAAGUUUGCCUAAAUGAUGUGGCAUGUACAGCUAGAUUUUGGUUAAUUAAAGCUUGAUUUUGCCUGCCUCCACCAACGUCAUAGAAGCGGCCGCAUCAACAGACUUUUUCAUUUUGGUGUAACUAAUAGUAUAGUCACAACUUAAUGUGACAAAUCUACAUGUUAAUAGUUUUCACAAUUAUUAUUGCGCCCGUGCUAUUCCUAAAAUCCUCAAGUUUCUAUUAACUUGCAACAAGAAGGGAAGAUGAAUAUCUAUUUCCUUUUCAGAAUUCACAUCCUAAAUGCAUGUU